rnacentral:rRNA from 1 species
CCCAGACUCCUACGGGAGGCAGCAGUGGGGAAUAUUGCACAAUGGGGGAAACCCUGAUGCAGCGACGCCGCGUGAGUGAAGAAGUAUUUCGGUAUGUAAAGCUCUAUCAGCAGGGAAGAUAAUGACGGUACCUGACUAAGAAGCCCCGGCUAACUACGUGCCAGCAGCCGCGGUAAUACGUAGGGGGCAAGCGUUAUCCGGAUUUACUGGGUGUAAAGGGAGCGUAGACGGUGAUGCAAGUCAGAAGUGAAAGCCCGGGGCUCAACUCCGGGACUGCUUUUGAAACUGUGUACCUGGAGUGCAGGAGAGGUAAGCGGAAUUCCUAGUGUAGCGGUGAAAUGCGUAGAUAUUAGGAGGAACACCAGUGGCGAAGGCGGCUUACUGGACUGUAACUGACGUUGAGGCUCGAAAGCGUGGGGAGCAAACAGGAUUAGAUACCCUUGUA